GAUGAACGCUGGCGGCGUGCCUAAUACAUGCAAGUCGAGCGAACAGACGAGGAGCUUGCUCCUCUGACGUUAGCGGCGGACGGGUGAGUAACACGUGGAUAACCUACCUAUAAGACUGGGAUAACUUCGGGAAACCGGAGCUAAUACCGGAUAAUAUAUUGAACCGCAUGGUUCAAUAGUGAAAGACGGUUUUGCUGUCACUUAUAGAUGGAUCCGCGCCGCAUUAGCUAGUUGGUAAGGUAACGGCUUACCAAGGCAACGAUGCGUAGCCGACCUGAGAGGGUGAUCGGCCACACUGGAACUGAGACACGGUCCAGACUCCUACGGGAGGCAGCAGUAGGGAAUCUUCCGCAAUGGGCGAAAGCUUGACGGAGCAACGCCGCGUGAGUGAUGAAGGUCUUCGGACCGUAAAACUCUGUUAUUAGGGAAGAACAAAUGUGUAAGUAACUAUGCACGUCUUGACGGUACCUAAUCAGAAAGCCACGGCUAACUACGU
rnacentral:rRNA from 1 species